CACACACACACACACACAAAAAAAAAAAAAAAAAAAAAAAAAAAAAAAAAAAAAAAAAUCUUCAUCUUCCUUUUCUUUACA
rnacentral:ribozyme from 12 species